rnacentral:lncRNA from 1 species
UGUAAAGUUGGCUUUUGGUUUCUAUAUUGAAAGAAUUCUGUGUGCAAGACAUUAUACCUUGCAAAUAGUUAGGAAAUAACUGUUCAAAACUUUUCUCUGUUGAGGAAAUACAAAAUUGUCCAUGCCAAAAAGCAAUCAGGGCCUGAAAUGAUCUUUGUAGUGAAGUCCAAUUAAAACUAAGCUGUAAGUUUUGCUAAAUCUAUUGGCUGACCUAGUAGUACCCAUUUCAUAGUGUUGCUGAGGCCAACACAGUAUAAGAACAUGGUAACACAAUAUUGAGGAUUACGUCUGAUCCUAUUCUUUUUUUGUUUGUUUUGUUUUGUUUUGUUUUUG